rnacentral:rRNA from 1 species
UGAGUGACCUGCCGAUUUGUGGGGGAUAGCCGGGCCAACGCCCGGGUAAUACCGCAUACGCUCUUCUUGGGGCAUCUCUAGAAGAGGAAACCUCCGGGGCAAAUCGAGGGACUCGCGGCCUAUCAGCUAGUUGGCGAGGUAACGGCUCACCAAGGCUACGACGGGUAGCUGGUCUGAGAGGAUGGCCAGCCACAUUGGGACUGAGAUACCGGCCCAGACCUCCGUACGGGNGCAGCAGG